GAUGAACGCUGGCGGCGUGCUUAACACAUGCAAGUCGAACGGAAAGGCCCAAGCUUGCUUGGGUACUCGAGUGGCGAACGGGUGAGUAACACGUGGGUGAUCUGCCCUGCACUUCGGGAUAAGCCUGGGAAACUGGGUCUAAUACCGGAUAGGACCACAUUUUGGAUGGUGUGGUGGAAAGUUUUUCGGUGUGGGAUGAGCUCGCGGCCUAUCAGCUUGUUGGUGGGGUAAUGGCCUACCAAGGCGUCGACGGGUAGCCGGCCUGAGAGGGUGUACGGCCACAUUGGGAAUGGGAAACGGCCCCAACCCCCACGGGGGGGAGCAGUGGGGAAGAUUACAAAAUGGGCCAAACCCUGAUACACGGAAGGCGGGGGGGGGGUGGGGGCCUUCGGGUUGAAACCUCCUUUCGCCGGGGACAAGACGUUUUUGUGACGGAACCUGGAAAAAAAGCACCGGCUAACUACGU
rnacentral:rRNA from 1 species